rnacentral:rRNA from 1 species
CCUACGGGUGGCAGCAGUGGGGAAUAUUGGACAAUGGGGGCAACCCUGAUCCAGCCAUGCCGCGUGUGUGAAGAAGGCCCUCGGGUUGUAAAGCACUUUCAGUGAGGAAGAACGCCUGGUGGUUAAUACCCAUCAGGAAAGACAUCACUCACAGAAGAAGCACCGGCUAACUCCGUGCCAGCAGCCGCGGUAAUACGGAAGGUGCGAGCGUUAAUCGGAAUUACUGGGCGUAAAGCGCGCGUAGGUGGCUUGAUAAGCCGGUUGUGAAAGCCCCGGGCUCAACCUGGGAACGGCAUCCGGAACUGUCAAGCUAGAGUGCAGGAGAGGAAGGUAGAAUUCCCGGUGUAGCGGUGAAAUGCGUAGAGAUCGGGAGGAAUACCAGUGGCGAAGGCGGCCUUCUGGACUGACACUGACACUGAGGUGCGAAAGCGUGGGUAGCAAACAGGAUUAGAUACCCCAGUAGUC